rnacentral:rRNA from 1 species
UACGGAGGGGGCGAGCGUUAUUCGGAAUUAUUGGGCGUAAAGAGCUCGUAGGCGGUUUGUCGCGUCUGCUGUGAAAACUCGGGGCUUAACCCCGGGCCUGCAGUGGGUACGGGCAGACUAGAGUGCGGUAGGGGAGACUGGAAUUCCUGGUGUAGCGGUGAAAUGCGCAGAUAUCAGGAGGAACACCGGUGGCGAAGGCGGGUCUCUGGGCCGUAACUGACGCUGAGGAGCGAAAGCGUGGGGAGCGAACAGG